rnacentral:rRNA from 1 species
AUUGAACGCUGGCGGCAGGCCUAACACAUGCAAGUCGAACGGUAACAGGGAUCAGCUUGCUGAUUCGCUGACGAGUGGCGGACGGGUGAGUAAUGUCUGGGAAACUGCCUGAUGGAGGGGGAUAACUACUGGAAACGGUAGCUAAUACCGCAUAACGUCGCAAGACCAAAGAGGGGGACCUUCGGGCCUCUUGCCAUCGGAUGUGCCCAGAUGGGAUUAGCUAGUAGGUGGGGUAACGGCUCACCUAGGCGACGAUCCCUAGCUGGUCUGAGAGGAUGACCAGCCACACUGGAACUGAGACACGGUCCAGACUCCUACGGGAGGCGGCAGUGGGGAAUAUUGCACAAUGGGCGCAAGCCUGAUGCAGCCAUGCCGCGUGUAUGAAGAAGGCCUUCGGGUUGUAAAGUACUUUCAGCGGGGAGGAAGGGAGUAAAGUUAAUACCUUUGCUCAUUGACGUUACCCGCAGAAGAAGCACCGGCUAACUCCGUG